rnacentral:rRNA from 1 species
ACNCCGACCAUUGGUCGUACCCGAAGUAAUAGUCAUCCGUAAGGGGGACGUUCCUAAGGUAAUGCCGGGUAAGGGGACU